CAAGAACCCAUUAAGGGGCUAUUAAGAGUCUUUUGUGACAAUAGCACUCCCAUUGAGAGUCAUUACCAGCACUAUAUACAUGCAAAUAAAGUGGUUUUUCUGGUUUGCUUUACAUUGAAAACAAAGGGCAAAAGCACUGUUGCUAGGCAGACCCCAGGAGGCAACAGAGCCUGCAGUUCAGAAGAUAAACACCGGAGGGCACCCCAACACAAGAAAACAGGAACCAUGACUUCUAAGGCAAAAAUUGAGGCCGAAGAACAAAUCAAAGAAGCGGAACACAGGCGACAACUGGAAAAAAGACAAAAAGAGGUGGAGCUGAAAGAAAAGGAAGAAAGCAUCAAACUGGCAGCCUACCAAAGAGAACAGGCAGCCAAAGAGGCAGCACACAAAAGAAAACUAGAAGAAGAAGAGGUGGCCCACAGAAGGAAACAAGAAGAAGAAGAGGCGGCCCACCGCCGAGACA